GAUCCCGGGGAAAGGGGGUAGGGCAGCCCCUCCCAUCAACACACGUUCCCUCACACACUCACCCUGGGCAGCGCAGGCGCGGGGCGGAAGGGGCGGAGCGCCGGCGGGGGCCCGCGGGGGUCAGGACCAGCCCUGCUGUCAAGCCCUGGCUAGGUGGAAGUGAAGAAGGAGAAGCUGGGGUCGGGGACCUCGGGCAAUGAUUUUGGGUUUUCGUACCCGAAACUUAAGAGCUUUGGUGCGUUUCUAGCACGCUCCGGCCACUAACCGAUGCUCCUGGGCCGCCGAGUCCCGCAAGGAGGAAUUAGAAGGACGGGAUUCUACAAGUUCAGUACCCCGCCACCCUCCCACGUGAAGGAGCGGUCCGAACUAGGGGAAGGCCCGGGUGAAGACGGAACGGAAUCUCGCCAGACCCGCAGCCUCCUUUCAGCUCACCCCAACCACAUUCAUUCAAAAAACCGGAGCCCUCUUUCUUCUCCCGCCCCGGUACCGGUAGUGACAAUUUACUCAACUCUGAAACCUAGGUAACCCACAAUAAGGAGCCCAAACAUACGACACGUAAAUUUAGAACUUUGAAAUAACACAAAAUGGAUUGUGAUGUGGACAUUGUACUUAGAGGGAGACCAUAGAAGUCUUAUUACUGCUUUGAAACACUCAUAUACAACUAAAAGUAUUAUCAACAGUAAAGAAAUGUACGCUUCCACAAGACGCGAUGCUUGUCUAAUUUUUAAUGUCAGUAAAGGAGCAGUGAUACCGGAUCUCUUUGUAUAUUCUCAUUUCUGGUGAUUAACAUUUUUUUAGUUGCAGUGUGAAUAACCGAAGGGAACAUGAGAUCAUAAAUCUUUAUAUUUUACUUUCCUACCCACCCCCUUUCACAGUCACAUAUAACGUGUAGGAUAUAAUUUCCUAUGAGGAAAGACUUAAUUUUUUUUUACUCGGUAACAUGUAUAUUAGAUAUAAUAUUUGCCUUGUGGAACUAAAUAGCAUCUUAAAUAUUUUGUGACAAAUUCUGAAAACCGUAUUCAAUACUACAACCCUUGCACUUCACCUUACUUUCACAGCUCCACCCCAAAUCAUAGGCUAGUAAUUUUUUAUGGUAUGUUGAGAUGUUUUAGCAAAGAAAUAGUUUUCCCACAAAGUUCUUUUCCUUCUGACACACAACCACUCUUGUUAUUCUAGGAAAGUACAGACUAUUCCUCCAAGAAUUUUCCAUAUGGCAAAGAGAAAACUAAUUUGAGGCAUAUGUGUUUGCUGAAAGCAAGAAAAAAAUAAUUUUAAAUCCUUUAAUCAAAGGUGUUUUUUUAUUACUCUGUAGCACCUAACAUGCCAUAUUAAUUCAUUCCUUCAGGCUUUUUAAAAUUGGCCAUUAUUACUAUCAUUCCUUUCAGAUUAAUGGGGGAGAAAUGGGUCCACCAGUUCCAAAAAGAAAAGCAAAUGUAGAUAACUUAUUUAAAGAUCAGGUGGACAACUCUGCCCUUUAUUCCUUUUUUUUUAAAUACAACUUUAAUUAUUGGCUACAUAUAAAUGCAGUUCAUUUUAAUGUGUAUUGAAACAAAAGUAAAUGUAAUGAUUGACUUUUACAUAUGUAAUAUUUAGUGUCAAUAAAAAGAACCAAGUUGAUUUUUACAA